AUGCAAGUCGAGCGGUAACAGAUCCAGCUUGCUGGAUGCUGACGAGCGGCGGACGGGUGAGUAAUGCAUAGGAAUCUGCCCGAUAGUGGGGGAUAACCUGGGGAAACCCAGGCUAAUACCGCAUACGUCCUACGGGAGAAAGGGGGCUCCGGCUCCCGCUAUGGGAUGAGCCUAUGUCGGAUUAGCUAGUUGGUGAGGUAACGGCUCACCAAGGCCACGAUCCGUAGCUGGUCUGAGAGGAUGAUCAGCCACAUCGGGACUGAGACACGGCCCGAACUCCUACGGGAGGCAGCAGUGGGGAAUAUUGGACAAUGGGGGCAACCCUGAUCCAGCCAUGCCGCGUGUGUGAAGAAGGCCCUCGGGUUGUAAAGCACUUUCAGCGAGGAAGAACGCCUAGCGGUUAAUACCCGCUAGGAAAGACAUCACUCGCAGAAGAAGCACCGGCUAACUCCGUGCCAGCAGCCGCGGUAAUACGGAGGGUGCAAGCGUUAAUCGGAAUUACUGGGCGUAAAGCGCGCGUAGGUGGCUUGAUAAGCCGGUUGUGAAAGCCCCGGGCUCAACCUGGGAACGGCAUCCGGAACUGUCAAGCUAGAGUGCAGGAGAGGAAGGUAGAAUUCCCGGUGUAGCGGUGAAAUGCGUAGAGAUCGGGAGGAAUACCAGUGGCGAAGGCGGCCUUCUGGACUGACACUGACACUGAGGUGCGAAAGCGUGGGUAGCAAACAGGAUUAGAUACCCUGGUAGUCCACGCCGUAAACGAUGUCGACCAGCCGUUGGGUGCCUAGCGCACUUUGUGGCGAAGUUAACGCGAUAAGUCGACCGCCUGGGGAGUACGGCCGCAAGGUUAAAACUCAAAUGAAUUGACGGGGGCCCGCACAAGCGGUGGAGCAUGUGGUUUAAUUCGAUGCAACGCGAAGAACCUUACCUACUCUUGACAUCCUGCGAAUUUGGUAGAGAUACCUUAGUGCCUUCGGGAACGCAGAGACAGGUGC
rnacentral:rRNA from 1 species